ensembl:lncRNA
AGGACAACAAGCUGUGAUAUUAAUCCAUUAUGCUGCGUCAAAUCUGAUGUACAAACCUGCGAACACUGACUGUUCACAGAUGGAAACGUGUUAGCUACACUCAGGAGGAUUUGUUAGCACUUUAGAUGAAAUUCAUCUAUUAGAGAAGUAUCAUUAAGAAGGAACAAUAGAGAGACGGAGGCUUUGAUUUUGAUGGUGUUUCUUUUACUACAAAAUCACUUCAGUUUUCUGGUUUAAUAGCAGAAGUUAUUCAGUCCUCGGGGGAAUGCACUUAUCACAAAUUUCUGCAAAUUGUAAGAGUUUGAAGGAGGGGAGAAAAACUUUGACAAUUAGUCUUUUUUUAUAAAAAAAAAUCUCAAAGGGUGCAGUGACAGAUUGCAGAGUCAAAGACGCUAUUAACAGUCACGUCAUACCUGCACCGAGCCUGCAGAAACCUUUUUCUUCUUCUGCUUUCCUGCUGGUGCGGUGGGGAAACACAGUCUGCUCUCUCACCUGGCUGCCUCCUGCUACGCUGUGGCUCAGGUGUUCUAACUGGAAAAUUACAAGUGACUUGAUUUGUGUAAGUGGCUGUGAUAAAUUAGCUGUGUUAAGCUUUUGGGCACAGUGGUACUUGUUAGCCUCUUCCAGCAAACAGCUAUUAAAAAAAACAACAAAAAAAAACACACUGCUCUGCAUUUUACCGAAUUACAAACAAGCAGCAGGAAAGAAAUUAAAUAUGAUUGGUUUGUCCACUGAUUUAAAUUUUUCCUUGCUUGCUAGAUCAUUAAUUACCCCACCACAUAAACAGUGUCUGAAGACCUCAUUAAAUACAGCGCUUUAUUAGGAAACCGCAAACUGAACCUAUGUAUUACUACAAUUAUCCAAUCAGCCAAUAAUUUAGCAGCUGUGCACAAAAAUCCUGCAGAUACAAAUCGAGAGCUUUGUGUAAUGUUCACAUCAAACAUCGGAGAAAAUGUGAUCUCUGCGGCUUUGACUGCGACAUGAUUGUUGGUGCCAGGCAGGCUUCUCUGAGUCUUCCUGAAACUGCUGAUCUCCUGGGGUUCAGUUUAAUCUGAACGGUGCUAAAAACAAAAUAGAACAGCCAGUGAGCGGUUCCUCUGCAGAAGGAAACAUCUUGUUGAUGAGCGAGAUCAGAGGAGAGUAGCUAAGCUGGUAUGAUCUGAAAGAAAGACUACAGCACCUCUGAUAACAACAGUGUGAGCCAAAUAAAUCACCAAAGAACCAAUCAGCUCCUUCAUGAACAACAACAUUAGAGCAACAUUAGCCUCUGCAAAUACUCCAAGUGUCCGCACCUAAUUCAAAUCUGAAAAUAAAAACAAAAAUACUCCUCGUAGUUUUGCACUAUUGCCCCAAAAUAAAACAUAAAAAGCUCUUUUUCCACCAUAUACUUCUACUACACAUGUGCACAGUUUGACAACAUCACAGCUACAAUAGCUGCUCACACCAGAGUGUUAACACUAUCAGCGUCUCAUCAGAG